rnacentral:rRNA from 1 species
GAAUGGCCGCGGUAUUUUGACCGUGCGAAGGUAGCAUAAUCAUUAGUCUUUUAAUUGUGGACUGGAAUGAAUGGUUGGACGUAAUAAUGACUUUUUUAUUUUUAAAUNUUUAAUUUUACUUUUUAGNGAAGAGGCUAAAAUAAAACCAAAAGACAAGAAGACCCUAUCAAGUUUUAUUAUUAAUAUAUUAUUAUUAGAGGUAAKUAAAAAUAUAAGUGUAAUUUUGCUGGGGCGGUAAAUUAAAACUAAUUAUGAUCCAAAAUUUUUGAUURUUUGAUUAAAUUACUGUAGGGAUAACAGCGUAAUCUUAUUUGAGAGUUCAUAUCGACARUARGGGUUGCGACCUCGAUGUUGGAUUAGAAUACCUWUUUGGAGCAGUAUUUAAAUUAGGUGGUCUGUUCGACCUUUAAAAUUCUACA